GACGAACGCUGGCGGCGUGCCUAAUACAUGCAAGUCGAGCGAAGCGGCGGAUGGGUGAGUAACGCGGGGGUAACCUGCCCUUAAGUUUGGGCUACCAUUUGGAAACAGAUGCUAAUACCGGAUACUUAAGGAUGGACCUGCGAUGCAUUAGCUAGUUGGUAAGGUAACGGCUUACCAAAGCAAUGAUGCCUAGCCGAGUUGGGGGUCUGGUCGGUCACAUUGGGAAUGAGACACGGCCCAAACUCCUACGGGAGGCAGCAGUAGGGAAUCUUGCACAAUGGACGAAAGUUUGAUGAAGCCACGCCGCGUGGGUGAAGAAGGUUUACGGAGCGUAAAGCUCUGUUGUUGGUGAGGCGUUAAUCAACCAAUAAGUAACGGCUAACUACGUGCCAGCAGCCGCGGUAAUAC
rnacentral:rRNA from 1 species